UCUCAGCAGGGGAGGAGCUUAAAGGAGGCCAGACCGGGCCUCGGCCCGUGCGGUUUUUUCGCCUAGUAGUGUUAAAUUUCAGGUUUUUGAGAAUUUUUUUAAAUGUGUAUUGGUUCGGCCCAGGCUGAUUUUAUCUCCAAAAAACAUCGGCCCAUGCUGAGUUUUAGGUCAAGAUCCGCCACUGGAUCUCAGGCACCACUUUCCUCUUCCGGCUCUCCAUUUUGCUCUAAAAAAUUAACACACAACACCAAAUAACAAUCACUACCAGUUGUUGAAUGUGUUUGUCGCUCGUCGUCGUGCUCACUGCUUAAUUCAGGAUCAUGCCUUCUAAAAAUUGUGGUCGCCAUGCUUGCCGAUUAAUUCAGGUUUAGGAACAAAGUGCUGGAUGAAAUAGGUUACAAUCAGGAGACUUUAGAGGGAGAGAGAGAACUGGAGUUAACAGUGCCAAUGCGGGCAUCAUUGCCCAACAGGGUGUCCCACCCCACCUCUGGAAUCUGGAUGUUAGAAUAAAGUGGCCAAAUGAUCUUUACUUAAAGUGGGAGGAAUUUUGUGUACAUCAACAUAUAGAUAUCUAACAAGUUUAAUGUCAGUGCUGGUAAACUUCUCGCUCCUAACUGAUAGUGUGAGCAACAGUUAACGACUCAAGUGCACUUUAUUCCGCUUUCCAUAGUGCGAGUCAUUUGGGUAAACUAACUGCUUUAGAGAUAUGGGUACAUCUGUUAUAAACUGUGACAAGAAAAUAUUCCGUUUAGCAAAAUGUGAUCUCUUACAAGUAGAUGAUCAUGAUUCUGGCUGAAAAGCCAAUUAGACAACAGUA